GGUUGAUCCUGCCAGUAGUCAUAUGCUUGUCUCAAAGAUUAAGCCAUGCAUGUCUAAGUAUAAACUGCUUAUACUGUGAAACUGCGAAUGGCUCAUUAAAUCAGUUAUAGUUUAUUUGAUGGUACAAUCUACUCGGAUAACCGUAGUAAUUCUAGAGCUAAUACGUGCGUAAAUCCCGACUUCUGGAAGGGACGUAUUUAUUAGAUAAAAGGCCAGCCGGAGUUUCUCCGACCUGCGGUGAAUCAUGAUAACUUCACGAAUCGCACGGCCUUGCGCCGGCGAUGUUUCAUUC
rnacentral:rRNA from 1 species